rnacentral:misc_RNA from 1 species
UACGGGGGUGGCAAGCGUUACUCGGAAUUAUUGGGUGUAAAGGGCAAGUAGGCGGUCUUGUAGGAGAGGGGUGAAAUCUACCGGCUCAAUCGGUAAACUGCCUUUCUAACCACAAGACUUGAGGGUAGCAGAGGGAAAUGGAAUUUCCGGUGUAAGGGUGAAAUCUGUAGAUAUCGGAAAGAACACCAGCGGCGAAGGCGAUUUCCUGGUCUACUCCUGACGCUGAAUUGCGAAAGCUAGGGGAGCAAACAGA